GCUCAGGAUGAACGCUAGCUACAGGCUUAACACAUGCAAGUCGAGGGGCAGCAUCAUCAAAGCUUGCUUUGAUGGAUGGCGACCGGCGCACGGGUGAGUAACACGUAUCCAACCUGCCGACAACACUGGGAUAGCCUUUCGAAAGAAAGAUUAAUACCGGAUGGCAUAGUUUUCCCGCAUGGGAUAAUUAUUAAAGAAUUUCGGUUGUCGAUGGGGAUGCGUUCCAUUAGGCAGUUGGCGGGGUAACGGCCCACCAAACCAACGAUGGAUAGGGGUUCUGAGAGGAAGGUCCCCCACAUUGGAACUGAGACACGGUCCAAACUCCUACGGGAGGCAGCAGUGAGGAAUAUUGGUCAAUGGACGAGAGUCUGAACCAGCCAAGUAGCGUGAAGGAUGACUGCCCUAUGGGUUGUAAACUUCUUUUAUACGGGAAUAAAGUUAGCCACGUGUGGCUUUUUGUAUGUACCGUAUGAAUAAGGAUCGGCUAACUCCGUGCCAGCAGCCGCGGUAAUACGGAGGAUCCGAGCGUUAUCCGGAUUUAUUGGGUUUAAAGGGAGCGUAGGCGGGUUGUUAAGUCAGUUGUGAAAGUUUGCGGCUCAACCGUAAAAUUGCAGUUGAUACUGGCGACCUUGAGUGCAACAGAGGUAGGCGGAAUUCGUGGUGUAGCGGUGAAAUGCUUAGAUAUCACGAAGAACUCCGAUUGCGAAGGCAGCUUACUGGAUUGUAACUGACGCUGAUGCUCGAAAGUGUGGGUAUUAAACAGGAUUAGAUACCCUGGUAGUCCACACAGUAAACGAUGAAUACUCGCUGUUGGCGAUAUACGGUCAGCGGCCAAGCGAAAGCAUUAAGUAUUCCGCCUGGGGAGUACGCCGGCAACGGUGAAACUCAAAGGAAUUGACGGGGGCCCGCACAAGCGGAGGAACAUGUGGUUUAAUUCGAUGAUACGCGAGGAACCUUACCCGGGCUUAAAUUGCAACUGACUGAACCGGAAACGGUUCUUUCUUCGGACAGUUGUGAAGGUGCUGCAUGGUUGUCGUCAGCUCGUGCCGUGAGGUGUCGGCUUAAGUGCCAUAACGAGCGCAACCCUUAUCGAUAGUUACUAGCAGGUCAUGCUGAGGACUCUAUUGAGACUGCCGUCGUAAGAUGUGAGGAAGGUGGGGAUGACGUCAAAUCAGCACGGCCCUUACGUCCGGGGCUACACACGUGUUACAAUGGGGGGUACAGAAGGCAGCUACACGGCGACGUGGUGCUAAUCCCGAAAGCCUCUCUCAGUUCGGAUUGGAGUCUGCAACCCGACUCCAUGAAGCUGGAUUCGCUAGUAAUCGCGCAUCAGCCACGGCGCGGUGAAUACGUUCCCGGGCCUUGUACACACCGCCCGUCAAGCCAUGAAAGCCGGGGGUACCUGAAGUACGUAACCGCGAGGAGCGUCCUAGGGUAAAACUGGUGAUUGGGGCUAAGUC
rnacentral:rRNA from 1 species